AUUUCUAACACUUGGCUAAAGCCCUGAGGAAAUAGAGCAGGGACAGAUUUCCAGCAGAUGACACAGUGCAUUCUUAGACUGAGAGUGGGAAAUUUUUUUGCUUAGUUUCCUAAAUGGAGCUGGCUUUGAUGGUUUGUUGUUUUCUCCACAGCUGACUUUGGCCUCUUUGCUCAGCUCACUCCUGAGCAGAGUAGACAAAGCUCCGUGGCCAGCACUUCUGGGUGGAUGGCGCCUGAGUGGUGACAGGUCAACCAUAUGGCCCCAAAGUGGACAUAUGGUCUUUUGGAAUUGUGGGCAUUGAAAUGGUGGAACAAGAAGCUCCUUACUGGAAAGAAACUUCUGGCAUGCCUCGACUCGUGAUAGCCAGACGAGGGAUACCAAAGCUGCUGCAGCCCAACCUGUUUUCACCUUGGCUGUGUGACUUCCUGAGCUGCUGCCUGCAGACAGACAAGGAGCAGCGCUGGUCUGCCAAGGAGCUCCUGCAGCAUCCAUUUGUAAGAUUUGCUGAGCCUGCAUCCAGCCUGGUGCCACUGAUUGUUUCAGUGAAGAAGAGGAAUGACCAAAGAAACUGAAAAUCACAUCAGGACCAUUUACUUCUCAACCGGCACAGGGCAGGAUUGUAGGUUCGGACAAGGGUUAGGGUUAGGGUUAGAGUUGGGGUUAGGGUUAGGGUUGGGGUUAGGGUUAGGGUUGGGGUUAGGGUUAGGGUCAGGGUCAGGGUUAGGGUUAGGACUAGAGUUAGGACGAGGGUUAGGACUAGGAUUAAGGUUCAGGUUAGGGUUUAGGACUAGGCUUAGGUUUCGGUUAUGAUUGUCUAAUAGGCCUGCUGAUUAGAAAUUAAUAAAGUUUCUGAAACCAAAACUCUCCCUGAAAUUUCCUUCCUUCUCACUCUCUGAAUAAGCUCUUGAUUUCCUUGUAAAUUUUCUUUUGUUUCUUAAAGGUGGAAGUCACCCAUACAGUGUCUUUGCUAUGGUGUCAAAUUGGGGAAUGCUCAUCCUCAUUUAUGCUCUCCAGACCAUGCUGCUUUUGGAAUGUAACCCACUGGCUGGAAGGAGGCCCUUGGAGCUGCACGAGGCAGCAGCCGGGCCCUGGGUGCCUCUUCCUGGCAGCGGGCGAA